GAUGAACGCUGGCGGCGUGCCUAACACAUGCAAGUCGAACGGAGAUUUAACGCUGAUGAAGCUUCGGCAGAUUCUUGUUAAAUCUUAGUGGCGGACGGGUGAGUAACGCGUGGGCAACCUGCCUCAUACUGGGGGAUAACAGCUGGAAACGACUGUUAAUACCGCAUAAGCGCACGGUAUCGCAUGAUACAGUGUGAAAAACUCCGGUGGUAUGAGAUGGGCCCGCGUCAGAUUAGCCAGUUGGCAGGGUAACGGCCUACCAAAGCGACGAUCUGUAGCCGGCCUGAGAGGGCGGACGGCCACAUUGGGACUGAGACACGGCCCAAACUCCUACGGGAGGCAGCAGUGGGGGAUAUUGCACAAUGGAGGAAACUCUGAUGCAGCGACGCCGCGUGAGUGAAGAAGUAUUUCGGUAUGUAAAGCUCUAUCAGCAGGGAAGAAAGACUCGUAAGAGAGAUGACGGUAC
rnacentral:rRNA from 5 species